CAAACUUGCAGGAGAAACCCCCAAAACAGCCAAACCGGCAGGAGAAACCACUUCAGAUAAUGCUUCUGCUGGGUGCAUGGUGAGGAACAGAGCUUCUGGAAACACGAGCCACAGACC
rnacentral:lncRNA from 1 species